GUGCCAGCAGCCGCGGUAAUACCGGCAGCCCGAGUGAUGGCCGAUCUUAUUGGGCCUAAAGCGUCCGUAGCUGGCUGCGCAAGUCCGUCGGGAAAUCCACUCGCCCAACGAGUGGGCGACCGGUGGAAACUGUGUGGCUUGGGACCGGAAGGCGCGACGGGUACGUCCGGGGUAGGAGUGAAAUCCCAUAAUCCCGCACGGACCACCGAUGGCGAAAGCACUUCGAGAAAACGGAUCCGACAGUGAGGGACGAAAGCCAGGGUCUCCAACCGGAUUAGAAACCCCAGUAGUCC
rnacentral:rRNA from 1 species